rnacentral:sRNA from 1 species
GCACUAGCAAAAUCUAGUGUCAGAAUUGGCGUUCUGAAUCAGUUACUGGCGACACAUGACGCGCCUUGCGUCUUUUUU